AGUGAACGCUGGCGGUAGGCCUAACACAUGCAAGUCGAACGGCAGCACAGUAAGAGCUUUCUCUUACGGGUGGCGAGUGGCGGACGGGUGAGGAAUACAUCGGAAUCUACUUUUUCGUGGGGGAUAACGGGGGGAAACUUACGCUAAUACCGCAUACGACCUACGGGUGAAAUCAGGAGAUCUUCGGACCUUGCGCGAUUGAAUGAGCCGGUGUCGGAUUAGCUAGUUGGCGGGGUAAAGGCCCACCAAGCCGACGAUACGUAGCCGGUCUGAGAGGAUUGAUCAGCACAACUGGAACUAGGAACGGGCCCAGACCCCUAGGGGAGCAAGAGGUGGGGAAUAUUGGAAAAUGGGCGAAAGCCUAAUCAGGCCAUACCGGGUGGGUGAAGAAGGCUUUCGGUUUGUAAAGCCUUUUUGUUGGGAAAGAAAAGCAGCAGGUUAAUACCCCGCUGUUCUGACGGUACCAAAAGAAUAAGCACCGGUUAAUUCCGU
rnacentral:rRNA from 1 species